GAGUACGAUCGCAAGAUUAAACUCAAAGGAAUUGACGGGGCCCCGCACAAGCAGCGGAGCAUGCGGCUUAAUUCGACGCAACGCGAAGAACCUUACCAAGGCUUGACAUAUAGGGAAAAGUGGCAGAGAUGUCAUGUCCGCAAGGGCUCUAUACAGGUGGUGCAUGGUUGUCGUCAGCUCGUGUCGUGAGAUGUUGGGUUAAGUCCCGCAACGAGCGCAACCCUCGUUCUGUGUUGCCAGCAUUUAGUUGGGGACUCACAGGAGACUGCCGGGGUUAACUCGGAGGAAGGUGGGGAUGACGUCAAAUCAUCAUGCCCCUUAUGUCUUGGGCUGCACGCAUGCUACAAUGGCCGGUACAGAGGGCUGCAAUACCGUAAGGUGGAGCGAAUCCCAAAAAGCCGGUCUCAGUUCGGAUUGAGGUCUGCAACUCGACCUCAUGAAGUUGGAGUUGCUAGUAAUCGUAGAUCAGCAACGCUACGGUGAAUACGUUCCCGGGGCUUGUACACACCGCCCGUCACGUCACGAAAGUCGGUAACACCCAAAGUCAGUGGCCCAACCGCAAGGGGGGAGCUGCCUAAGGUGGGAUCGGUGAUUGGGACG
rnacentral:rRNA from 1 species